UGGGACAUUGUUGUAUUGUAAUACAAUUACAUGGUGAAAGAUAAUAAUAUAGAUCUUAUUAUAGAAGAGCCAAGUUAAAAGAUAAAAUUAAAAAAAUAUAGAUAAAAGAUAGUGAUGUAUUAAAACUUUUAGUAGUAAUGUUGUUUUUUUAAAAAAGUGGCUUCUAUCUACUUUGUAAGGCCAUAAAUAAGGCAAAAAAAGAUAGAUUAGAAAAAUAAAAGAUAUAGACAUAUAUAGGAGGAAGUUAGGAAUUGGUUUUAGUAGAAUUUACCUUAAAUGGGAUAAAAAUUGAUACUCGAAGAAGACCAGUUAUCAGCCAUGGUCGAAAUCAGACAUUGAUUUUGAGGAAUUUAGUUCAAUAAUGACUUUUUAAGAGCUUUGCAAAGUUGAUAUUGUUUUCAAUGACUCUGAUUUUUAGAAAAU
rnacentral:lncRNA from 1 species